rnacentral:rRNA from 1 species
UAGUCCUCGGCUCAGGAUGAACGCUAGCGGCAGGCCUAACACAUGCAAGUCGAGGGGCGAUCGGGAUUGAAGCUUGCUUCAAUUGCCGGCGACCGGCGCACGGGUGCGUAACGCGUAUGUAACUACCUAUAACAGGGCAUAACACUGAGAAAUUGGUACUAAUUCCCCAUAAUAUUCGGAGAGGCAUCUCUCCGGGUUGAAAACUCCGGUGGUUAUAGAUGGACAUGCGUUGUAUUAGCUAGUUGGUGAGGUAACGGCUCACCAAGGCAACGAUACAUAGGGGGACUGAGAGGUUAACCCCCCACACUGGUACUGAGACACGGACCAGACUCCUACGGGAGGCAGCAGUGAGGAAUAUUGGUCAAUGGACGCAAGUCUGAACCAGCCAUGCCGCGUGCAGGAAGACGGCUCUAUGAGUUGUCAACUGCUUUUGUACGAGGGUAAACUCACCUACGUGUAGGUGACUGAAAGUAUCGUACGAAUAAGGAUCGGCUAACUCCGUG